GGAGGCAGGGCCCGGCGCUCAGCGCGGGGACGCGGCCGGCGGGCUCAAUGCACAUCAGAUGGUCUGAUGAUAACUGACAACAGCCUCCCAAAACAAGCAGAACUCUGAGGAACUAUUGUCUCACCACAACCUUCAAAAUCAUAAGACAGGACUCCUCUGUCUCAGCCUUUCUACAUCUGCAGGAUAUGGCCUUCAAGCAGUUUUUUAAUUGGUUCUCCUGGAAACAGCUGCAUAUAA